AGUGAACGCUGGCGGUAGGCCUAACACAUGCCAGUCGAACGGCAGCACAGUAAGAGCUUGCUCUUACGGGUGGCGAGUGGCGGACGGGUGAGGAAUACAUCGGAAUCUACUUUUUCGUGGGGGAUAACGUAGGAAAACUUACGCUAAUACCGCAUACGACCUACGGGUGAAAGCAGGGGAUCUUCGGACCUUGCGCGAUUGAAUGAGCCGAUGUCGGAUUAGCUAGUUGGCGGGGUAAAGGCCCACCAAGGCGACGAUCCGUAGCUGGUCUGAGAGGAUGAUCAGCCACACUGGAACUGAGACACGGUCCAGACUCCUACGGGAGGCAGCAGUGGGGAAUAUUGGACAAUGGGCGCAAGCCUGAUCCAGCCAUACCGCGUGGGUGAAGAAGGCCUUCGGGUUGUAAAGCCCUUUUGUUGGGAAAGAAAAGCAGCAGGUUAAUACCCCGCUGUUCUGACGGUACCCAAAGAAUAAGCACCGGCUAACUUCGUG
rnacentral:rRNA from 1 species